AAAAUAACCAUAUUGAUCAAUACAACGUGAUAAAUUUUUACAUGUAAGUUAGUGUAUUAGUGUAUUCAAUACACAAACCGAAGUAACCUAAACAAAACAAGGAAAGAGAAUGGGACUAGGAGAAGGUAGUGGUUGUAGGCCCAGGGCCAGGGCCAAGAAAGACAGGAAAUAUAUCCCGGCAAUGCCCAUGCCCCUGGCAGUAAUAUGUUGUAUAUUAAAUUUUCUAGUUCCAGGUAUAGGUGAGUAAUACAAAUUAUGUCAUUCUGAUUCAUAUUUCUAAGUAUAUGUGAGUGUCAACACGCAUUGCACAUUUAUGAGGGGGAUAGGAUCUUUAACGGGACUCCGGGAAUGGGUGUUUUUAAGCUCGGGAUUUCAGGAUUGACCCUUUCGGGAUCCGGGAAUUCUAUUUUUCGAAUUUCGGGACCUCGG
rnacentral:lncRNA from 1 species